AGCUGCAGUUCUCCAGGGGAAUUGCAAAAUACUUCUAAAUACUCUGAAAAUGAAAUUAAAUAUUCAUUUCAUUUUAAUUUACAGAUGCCAUACUUUUAGAAGAUGUCAGUGCUGUGGAAUGAGAUGGCCAACCAUCAUAUGUAUGCUGCAACUCAGAGAUACAGCUGUGAAUUCUCAGAAUACGGUACUGAUGGCCCUGUCGUCCAAUGCAUCCAAUGUCUGAUUUUCAUCUUGGCCAGCUUUCUACUAUGCCUUAGACAAAACUCAACCAUUCUCUUCCAUGAUGUAGAAUGGCUACUAAAAAGGAAGAAGAAAAGAAAGCUUUCAGAGGACAGUGGUAAACAAAUGCAUUAUGAUUUACUUAACAGGGAACUGUAAGUUUUUUAUGUCCAAGAACAUAGAACUUGCUUUUUUAAAAUACUUUCUAAAAAUUUUCUUUUCUUUUGUUUCUUUCUCCCCCCCCCAGAAGAGCUAUAGAGGUGAGUUGUAUAUUUUUUCUUCUGCUCUUUUUUUUUUUAAUUGAAAUAUAAUUAACAUACAGUGUUAUGUUAGUUUCAGGUGUACAAUAUAAUGAUUCAACACUUCUAUACAUUUCUCAGUGCUUAUCAUGAUACUCUUAAUCCCCUUUACCUACUUCACCCACCCCCCUACCCACCUUCCCUAUGGCAACCACCAGUUUGUUCUCUGUUUUCAAGAGUCUGUUUUUUGUCUGUCUCUUUUUUUCUUUAUUCCUUUGUUUUGUUUCUUAGGUCCCAUAUAUGUGUGAAAUCAUAUGGUAUUUUUCUUUCUCUGACUUAUUUCACUUAGCAUUAUACCUUCUACAUCCAUCCAUGUUAUAGCAGAUGGCAAGAUUUCAUUCUUUUUUAUAGCUGAAUGUAUUCCAUUAUAUUAUAUGUACACACCACAUCUUCUUUAUUCAUCUAUGGAUGGACACUUGGUUGCUUCCAUAUCUGGGCUACUGUAAAUAAUGCUGCAGUAAACAUAGGAGUGCACAUAUCUUUUCGAGUUAGUGUUUUCAUUUUCUUUGAGUAAAUACCUGGUAGCAGAAUUGUUGGAUCAUAUGGCAUUUAUAUUUUUAAUUUUUUGAUGAACCUCCAUAUUGUUUUCCACAGUACCUAUACCAGUUUGCAUCCCUACCAACAGUGCAUGAGGGUUCCUUUUUCUCCACAUCCUCACUAACACUUGUUUCUUGUGUUUUGAUUUUUAGUCGUUCUGACAAGUGUGAGGUGAUAGAUAGCUCAUUGUAGUUUUAGUUUG
rnacentral:lncRNA from 1 species